UCUAGAAUGUGAUUUUGAUCGUUGUACUUGCGUGAAUGCUACUCCGCAUUCCUGAAUUUGUGUUCCUACUCCGCAACAAUCCUUGUUGCAUGAACCUUUCAUUUACCAAAGAUUUAAAACACACAUUAGUCGAGUUUGUUAGUUUGUUCAUCAAAACCAUAAGAGUCAACAAUAAGGCUGAUAUAAUGUGGCCUUCAUUUCUUUCAAAAACAGAAACACCAUGGCUUUUGUAUGCAAAUGAAGUUUCUACUGAUGAACAGAUCCACACUUUUUACUCUUUAUCAUCCACCUCAACCUGUAAUACCGAAUCUUACAGUGAAAGCAUUCCUCAAUUGCGCGGCAAACACAUAUGUGCCUCAUCUUAUGGUUGGUUUGUUCUACAGUAUAAAGUCCAAGAUAACUUGUUCUCUAUCUUCAAUCUUGAAACUUUGCAGACAAUCCCUCCAUUAACAGCCACACCAGAUAACGACUUCAGUAAUGUCAAGUGCGCUCUUUCAUCUUCCCCUGACUGUUAUGACUGUCUGCUGCUCUUGUUUCAUACUGGUGCUUCUGUAAUGUUUUUCUGCCACCCUGCACACCCUGAUGACAAGUGGUCCUCACAGAAACUUGAGCCUGAAUGUGAUGCCUUAAAAAUAAUCCAAUUGAUUACUGUCAACCGAUACAUAUAAGGUGUUAGCAGAGAAGGAAUGUUAUUCUAUGUGGUGGAUGAAAUUAAGUCACUCACCUUGGUCCCUUUGCAAAUUUUACUACCCGUUAUUCACUUGCGAUGUCACUGUCACUUUAUAAACAUGUUGGAAUCAUGUGGCCGUCAUUAUAGUGUUUAUCUAUGCAUGGCCAUUGGUUCGCGUAAACGACUCAUGGCCGUGAAAUUUUUGAACUGGACCUGCAGAAGAAGAUGUGGGUUGAGGUCAAGUGUCUGGAUGGUCGUACCUUUUUAAUAGGGCUAGGUAAUAAUUGCACCUGGUGUUGGGGUAACACAAAAGGAGGAAUUGUAUAUACGUUCUUAAGUGCGGAGAUGAACUAGGUACCACAGAAACAUUGUUGUAUAACCUCCUUAAUCAAACUUGUACUAUCAUACCUUCCUGCACAAGCUUCAUUGACAUUAGGAGGUUCCUUGCUUGGGUGAUUCCCCCAAAACAGCAAAGACCUGCUACGUUAUUGGCAAAACAAGAGUUUCAAGAGAGUGUCGAAAAGGUAUACGAGGUCUCCAAUGUAGGAGUUUGUCUUUGCAAAGCCCAAAAGUUACUGCAUUACAGUGAAACGCAAGAGGCUUAUUCAGUAAGCUUCCUUCUCAUGUACUGGAAUUAAUUUGAAACUGUAUGCAUUUGUUUGAAUACUGGAACUUCCGUGUCAGCUGUAAGAUUUUUUAUGCAGCAUGUCCUGUAUCUCAAAGGAGAACAUUUCCUUUUUUUAUGCUCCUAAAGAAUUAUGGUGGGUUGUUCACAAUAAUCGACCCUUGUUGACUUGAUUCACGCUCCUGCAGCAACAUUCUCCCAUCAUCUGUUGGUCCAUUUACCUUAGAAUUCUUUAAAAAUGGAUGGCUACUCUACGUAGUUGGUAAAGAGUCCAUUGAAUUCCUCAACCCUUUUACAAGGGUAAGGGGUGUUUAUCCGCCUUUUCAACCAAUAGAAAUUCUCUUUUCUCUUAAGAGUAUUGCAUUUUCAACCUCUCCGACUUGCCCUGAGUGUGUGACAAUUGGAAUUUAUCAUUAUGCCUACUUUAUAUCUUUCAUAUACCUUCAAUCUGGCGAUAAGGAAUGGAAAACUUUUAGAACUAUACAAAGGGAUGAUAUUGAGUUCCGUCCCAAUUCAAGCUCUCCCAUCUUUCUUGAGGGCGCAUUCGAUUAUUUGAAUGUUUGUGGAUUUCUUGGAGUAUUUGGAUUGCAGGGUGGACAACCAACAUGGUAAGUUUAUCACAGUCCUCCUACUCUUGGUAAUAACUUCUACUUGAGUUGUUUAGUUGAGUGCAAUGAAGAAAUUUACUCAGUAUUCAUUGGGAAACUUGGGAAGUCGAUUCAAGUCUUUAGGUUCGAUGACAUUGAGAAGAAUUGGAUUGAAAUUGAUGAUUUGGGAGAUCACAUUUUGUUUAUUAGUCGUGCAUCAUCUUUUUCCGUAAUGACAAGAGAUCCUAAGUUGAGAAAUAGGAUCUAUCUCCCAAGGCUUGAAGGCAAUAAUAUUGUCUUCUACUCUCUAAAAAAUAGAAAAUAUCACAUCUUGAGCCAUGAUGAUGCUAGUGAAAUCGGUGCUUCGAUGGAAGAUUUACGUUUUACUAAAGAGUCUUAUUGGAGUUGUUGGUUAUAGUUUUCUUUUUUCAUAC